rnacentral:misc_RNA from 1 species
GAUGAAAACGUAGUGAAAUGCGAUAAGUAAUGUGAAUUGCAGAAUUCAGUGAAUCAUCGAAUCUUUGAACGCACAUUGCGCCCGUCAGUAUUCUGGCGGGCAUGCCUGUUCGAGCGUCAUUACGCCCCUCAAGUCCCCUGUGGACUUGGUGUUGGGGAUCGGCGAGGCUGGUUUUCCAGCACAGCCGUCCCUUAAAUUAAUUGGCGGUCUCGCCGUGGCCCUCCUCUGCGCAGUAGUAAAACACUCGCAACAGGAGCCCGGCGCGGUCCACUGCCGUAAAACCCCCCAACUUUUUAUAGUUGACCUCGAAUCAGGUAGGACUACCCGCUGAACUUAAGCAUAUCAAUAAGCGGAGGA